rnacentral:tRNA from 1 species
GCCGAGAUGGCCCAACCUGGUACGGCGCAGGCCCGCUAAGCCUGUUUCCUUACGGAUUUCCGGGUUCAAAUCCCGGUCUCGGCG